rnacentral:rRNA from 1 species
ACAACGGAGAGUUUGAUCCUGGCUCAGGAUGAACGCUAGCGGCGGGCUUAACACAUGCAAGUCGAGGGGCAACAUGGAAUCUUCUAUUAGAAGAUUUUGAUGGCGACCGGCGUACGGGUGCGUAACACGUAUGUAACCUACCUUUUGCUAGAAGAUAGCCUGAGGAAACUUGGAUUAAUAUUCUAUAAUAUGGAAUCCUCGCAUGAGGAUUCUAUUAAAGCAAUGUGGCAAAAGAUGGGCAUGCGUCUGAUUAGUUAGUUGGUAGGGUAAUGGCCUACCAAGACAAUGAUCAGUAGGGGGCCUGAGAGGGUGUUCCCCCACACUGGUACUGAGAUACGGACCAGACUCCUAC